rnacentral:rRNA from 1 species
UGAACGCUGGCGGCGUGCUUAACACAUGCAAGUCGAACGAAGCUCUUGAAUGGAUCUCUUCGGAGUGAAGUGAUAGAUGACUGAGUGGCGGACGGGUGAGUAACGCGUGGGUAACCUACCCUAUACAGGGGGAUAACAGUUAGAAAUGACUGCUAAUACCGCAUAAGCGCACAGUAUCGCAUGAUACGGUGUGAAAAGCUCCGGCGGUAUAGGAUGGACCCGCGUCUGAUUAGCUAGUUGGUGAGGUAACGGCCCACCAAGGCGACGAUCAGUAGCCGACCUGAGAGGGUGACCGGCCACAUUGGGACUGAGACACGGCCCAAACUCCUACGGGAGGCAGCAGUGGGGAAUAUUGCACAAUGGGCGCAAGCCUGAUGCAGCCGACGCCGCGUGAGUGAAGAAGUAUUUCGGUAUGUAAAGCUCUAUCAGCAGGGAAGAACAAUGACGGUACCUGACUAAGAAGCUCCGGCUAAAUACGUGCCAGCCGCAGC